UACGUAGGGUGCGAGCGUUGUCCGGAAUUACUGGGCGUAAAGAGCUCGUAGGUGGUUUGUCGCGUUGUCCGUGAAAACUCACAACUCAAUUGUGGGCGUGCGGGCGAUACGGGCAGACUGGAGUACUGCAGGGGAGACUGGAAUUCCUGGUGUAGCGGUGGAAUGCGCAGAUAUCAGGAGGAACACCGGUGGCGAAGGCGGGUCUUUGGGCAGUAACUGACGCUGAGGAGCGAAAGCGUGGGGAGCGAACAGG
rnacentral:rRNA from 1 species